UACGAAGGGGGCUAGCGUUGCUCGGAAUCACUGGGCGUAAAGGGUGCGUAGGCGGGUCUUUAAGUCAGGGGUGAAAUCCUGGAGCUCAACUCCAGAACUGCCUUUGAUACUGAAGAUCUUGAGUUCGGGAGAGGUGAGUGGAACUGCGAGUGUAGAGGUGAAAUUCGUAGAUAUUCGCAAGAACACCAGUGGCGAAGGCGGCUCACUGGCCCGGAACUGACGCUGAGGAGCGAAAGCGUGGGUAGCAAACAGG
rnacentral:rRNA from 1 species